UUCUGCUACAUACAUGCCUCACAUCUGACGUUGUGACUUGUGAAUGUCAAUUGAGAAAUAAAUCAGUUACUGUUUUUAUACAUAAUUGUAAUUCGACUCGUUGCUUAAUUUAAUGUGCUCAUAAUUGCUCAUCGGGUGUAUCAACGCGGAAUAAGACACACGUUUCUAGAAUUUAUCAUAGUGAUUUCUUUUGUGAUUUUCAUUUCAUCGAACAACUAAUCUAGUCAUAAAAAAAUGACUCAUCAACCGCAAUAUCCUCCCCCCGGCUUCAAUAUACCUCCACCUCAGUACACUCAUGCUCACCAUUCAGUCAACGUAGUAGUGCCAACUUCCUUUGGUGAGACUCCAGUUCGUAUGGUUUGUCCAAAUUGUCGAAAUGAAAUAAUGACUAGAGUGUCGACUGAAUGCUCGUUACCUCAACAUAUAGCUUGUUUCGUGAUGUUUGUGACUGCUGCUUGUUUAAUUUGUUCGUGUUUACCAUAUUGUAUAACAUCUUUGAGUAAUUUUCGCCACGAAUGUCCUAGUUGUAAACUGCAUUUGGGGACAUAUAAACGUUGUGCCUAAAGCAAACAUUCCUUAGAAUUCGUAUACAAGCUUGGCACUGAACGUGCCGAGUUCGUAAACAAAAAAAUAAGCUGAUGUAAGCAAAUUCAAUAGAUACCUACUCGCACAUACAUAUGUAUGCCUACGUAUUUUAAAAACCACUUUUGUAUCAAAUUUUGAUUUUAUAAUUAGGUAAUAUUUUAUUCGCAUAUUUUUACUAUUUUAUUCGAUGCGAAGUUACAUAUUAUGAAUUACCUACUUAUGCUGUGAAAAAUGUUCAAUAAAAUGUUCGCAUAUUUUA